ensembl:lncRNA
ACUAUUUAAGGUUGCCAGAAACGGGUUUUGUAGGGUAGGGGAUCACCUCGCUGUCUCCAUCCAUCCCCCAUCGGACCGGCCGGUCAGCCGCCUCCCCUCCUGGAGGUCAUGAAGGGGGCAAGAUCUGGCUGCAGUGUGAGGAGAUUUGGGCCUGUUGGGUCAUAGCUAAAGGCUUCAGUCUACCCGACAGAACGCUGAGGAAGCCCGAGGCACAGUCGUGUUCCUCGGAAUGAGGCCGAGGAACACAGACGUGACACGGGGGCCCUAUCGAGGUGGCCCUUAAGGGGCAUGCCCUCACGAGGCCCCCGCUGCUUGGCGCGACUUCAGGCCGCAUCCGAUGAAUUUCUCCAACACGCCCAGUCAUUCUUGGAUUUAAUGUGUCGUUGGUUUGCUAUUAAACGGGGCGCAGUUUCCCGAGAUGAACUUGACCUUUGCACUCCUUGAAUGGGACCUCGGGUCUCUGCGCUACAGAGCCUCAGACCCCUGUGUCCCCUCCGGCCCCUCGGACCCCCGAGACCCUAAGACCCCUCGGACCAGUGUGUGAUUUGCUGAUUUAAACUUCUCUCCCACAGUACCGUGAACUAAAACAGGAGAGGCGGACGAGGUUUUGGAUUUGGCGCGGAGUUGCUGACGAAAGCCACUGGACACCCUGAAUUAAAAGUAUUUUCUUUCGUAAAAUCCCCUUUCAAUGUUUUUCGUGUAUGUUUGUGGAGAAUAUAUAUGUUCCGUGGAGGUUUAGGCCUAUUGGUUGCAACCCAGCCUCACCCGAUCUGAAAAGACUACAAUUGGUUUGUUCUCAACCUGGUUUUAUUUAUUUUCAUUUCGUUUUAAUUUGUGUGUGAAAAUAAAUUAAGGCUGAUUGGGUGUGAGUCUUUGGAUUUCUGAUAUUGAUGUAGGAAUUUUCUAAUAUAUUAUUUUGCAUUUUCUUUUCGAAUAUAUUAGUAUAUUUAUGUAUUUGCAUUUCUAAAUUACUUUGUUAAGUAGACCCAUCGAUU